UUACUGUAUACUGUAUAUGUGUGACCCCAAAACCAAGACACGUGUGGCAUUAAAUCUGAGCUAAUGAGCUGUUGAAUCAACGGAGUGCUCCAGAGUCAGGCUUACCUCUUCCAGUAAGUUAGGUCGAGAAAUGAGAAGACAGGGGAGCGGCUUGAUCCCCGGCUGAGCUCGGUGUCUGAGCCAUCGUCUGACAGGUUGCUGUAACUAGGAGACUGAGCCGGAGAGGCACUGGAGGUGGUGCUGUGGGCGUCUGAGUCUGAUGAGCAGAACAAGAGAUGCCUGCUGAUCUGGCUCGGCCGUGCUUUCUUAGAGAUGGACUUGAUCUUCUUGGGCCUGGAGGUUAUCUUAAGGCUAGGACCUCCCCGAGCAUCAACAACCUAAGGGAAGGAGAAGAGAGAAGACCACAAUGAGUCAGCAAAACUAACAGAAUUUGUGAAUGUUAAGUCAUCAAUAAUAGCAAUACUGUCCAAACUCA